ensembl:lncRNA
AUGAAGGUCCACUCUACUCAGGACUUAGUCCAGCUUUUUUUCUCCCCUUUAAGUGGCAGUAAGGAUGAUACUCCAGUUUUGGAAUUGAAGGACUGUCCUGAUACAGAUUUGUCCCUUCUGGAAAGCCAGAAUGAACUGAAUCAGAAUGAUAUAGAUAAUAUCAACAACCUGGCCAUCAACUGGGACUUGUCAGCAACAGAAUGUGGUUGGCAGAAACCAUUCUCCACCAUGGGGUUAUUGGUCGACGUGAAAAACAGAUUUCUCAGCUGCGGAGAGGACUCAAAGAUACAGGUGUUUUGAGAAUGAUAAAAGAACGACCCAGUUUAACUGCAGUACUGUUUCCCAGAUCUUCUGCACUGCUGAUGGAACCAGAGGUAACUGGUCUAUUCUACUUCAGAGAAUAGACCAUAUGGAAGCCAUUGCACUAAAUCAGCGGUUCUCAAUUUCAGUCCUCGUGCCCCCCAGCUCUGCAUAUUUUGCAUGUCUCUCUUUGUUAACACACCUGAUUCAGAUAAUCAGCUCCUUAGAAGUGAGCUCCGUGCAUGAACUGUGUUCCCACUGACAUGCUCCCUCCACAGUGUUCAUUGCUCCCUACUCCCUGAGCAGGGGAUAUCUGUUGAAGUUUACCUCACUUCAGAACAUUCAUUCACGGAUUUGCGCUGCGCAACGUCUUCACACACGGACAAGUUUGACAUCAUAUACGUCUGUAAAUAAAUACAAUUUAAAUUCACGUCUCA